rnacentral:rRNA from 1 species
UAUUGCACAAUGGGCGCAAGCCUGAUGCAGCCAUGCCGCGUGUAUGAAGAAGGCCUUCGGGUUGUAAAGUACUUUCAGCGGGGAGGAAGGCGUUGUGGUUAAUAACCGCAGCGAUUGACGUUACCCGCAGAAGAAGCACCGGCUACCCCCGUGCCAGGAGCCGCGGUAAUACGGAGGGUGCAAGCGUUAAUCGGAAUUACUGGGCGUACAGCGCACGCAGGCGGUCUGUUAAGUCAGAUGUGAAAUCCCCGGGCUCAACCUGGGAACUGCAUUUGAAACUGGCAGGCUUGAGUCUCGUAGAGGGGGGUAGAAUUCCAGGUGUAGCGGUGAAAUGCGUAGAGAUCUGGAGGAAUACCGGUGGCGAAGGCGGCCCCCUGGACGAAGACUGACGCUCAGGUGCGAAAGCGUGGGGAGCAAACAG